GGUUUUCAAAUGAAGUAAGAAGUUUAGCAGUAAAACUAAACACAUUACAAAUACAAACCUCUGUCAGAUACUGAGCCUCAUGGAUCUUUAUUACACCUUAAAUACUGUUAUCACUGUUGUUGUUGUUGUUGUUAUGGUUGCUGGCGGCGGCGGCAUGGUUGUUGCUGUGAUGGUUGCUGUUUUCACUUCUCCUGUGCUUAAGCUGUGCAAUUUCCAAUUGUGUAUUCAUGAAGAACUGCAUUCUCUGCAAUUCCAUAUCUUUCGCAAAUUUCAUUCUCUGCUUCUCCAUCUCCACCAUUUGAUGCAGUUUCGCGGUCUCUGUUUGUUCAUAUGCUUCCCCAAAUUUUAGUAUUGCCUGUGUCAACUCCCUCACUGAAUUCCCCCAAUUCUUGUUUCCACUAGCUUCUCCAAUUCCUCCCUGCCUUAAUGCGCUUGAAUUCAGCAUUUCCUUCUGAAACCUUGGUCUCUUUUUUUGAAAUGUGCCUGGAGGAAAGCUGUCGGUUGAAGCAGGUGAAAGGUCCGGUUCAGACUCCGAUUCCGAUGUGUCUGAAUCCAUGUGAGGCCUUUUCCGGGACGGUUGCUUUUGUUUCUGCAGUUGUUGAUGUUGUCGGAGCUGAGGAAGGGACCUGACUCCCAUAGGAAUACCCAUAGGCACAUGUUGGUUACCUGAAUACAAAUUAGACGGUCCGGCAGCGACGGUAGGAUUGAUCUUAGCCGUCGGACCUAUCAACAUAUCGAGCUUAUCAAAGAAAGGCCACUUGCUUGGUCCUUGACCCGCAGCGAUCUUAGAUUUCUCCAGCUUGUAUUUCUUCUUUACAGUAUCAAUUCGAUUUUUGCACUGAAUAUCAGUUUUAGGCGUUUUUCUAUAAUCCUCCCGACUGCUAACAAUGUCAGCAACAUCUUUCCAGUGCUUCUGCUUCAAAUUACCUCUACUCAAUUCCAUGUAACGCUCACCCCAAGCCUCGAUCAGUACAGCCGUAGCCUCUUCACUCCAACAAUCCUCCCUUCCACCACCACUACCUCCACCGCCGCCAGACGCUCCAGCAGGUCUCGAUUGCUGUAUCGGUAGAGCCAACGUCAAGGUGUUCUGAGGAGGCGCUGAUGCUACCGUCACCGUUAUCCUCCCGUUAGAUCGUGGUGAUUCCGGAGAUCCAGAACCACCGGACUGAGUUUCUUCGUCGUUCUCCAUAAACUUUAACCGAUUCCGGUGCGCCGCCGAUCCGAGAGUUGAGUGAGAAGAUGAUGAAGAAGGAAUUUUUGGUUAGGGUUUCGGUUGACCGGCGGUAUAUAAUGAGGGGAGG
rnacentral:misc_RNA from 1 species